AGCUGGUCGACAAAACUUUCCCGGAGUUAAAAACCUCUAAGAAAACGGCCGUGAACGACUGCGUGUGUGUUUGUGCGUCUGAAAUGAAGUCACACGAUAUAAGGGCAUGGAGGACGGCCUGCGCUCCUUGACGGCGUCGGCGAUGGUGAGGGUGGAGGCUGAGCCGUAGAUGUUCUCCCUGGACGGAGCUGUGACCAGGAUGGUGGGAGGAUGCGGAGACAAGCCGGCCGGGUCGGCUUCAGCAUCGGCCGGAGACGAGGGGGGUCUCUCUGAGGCGUUGAGGAAGGACAGUGAUUAAACUCACAGACAGCGUGGGUGCUUAAUUUCAUUCUCAUACCCCUCACACAGGCUACAAUAGCUGCUGUUCCAGCCUUUUACUUAAUUCCCAUGGAGUCUGAUCGUCAUGCAGGUCACCAGGGCAACCCUGACGACUUCCAGGAGUGUGUGUGGAAGUGUUCCUCUAUCAGGAGCGAUGACGCUUCCUAAUUGGAUAGUGCUAAUGUCCUAAGCUGGUUAGAGCUGCGUUGACAUCAUUAUCCAGCGGGGAACAACAUCAUUUACCACUUUACCAUUAUAUAAUAGAUGAUGGGCGUAGCAAAAACAUCAAAUUAUGCACAGUGUCAUUAAAAAGUUGGAUACUCUGCUGGUUUACACUGA